GACAUCUCCUUAAUCGGAGAGUUCCCUUCGGGGACAUUGGUGACAGGUGGUGCAUGGUUGUCGUCAGCUCGUGUCGUGAGAUGUUGGGUUAAGUCCCGCAACGAGCGCAACCCUUGUCUUUAGUUGCCAUCAUUAAGUUGGGCACGCUAGAGAGACUGCCAGGGAUAACCUGGAGGAAGGUGGGGAUGACGUCAAAUCAUCAUGCCCCUUAUGCUUAGGGCUACACACGUGCUACAAUGGGUAGUACAGAGGGUUGCCAAGCCGUAAGGCGGAGCUAAUCCCUUAAAGCUACUCUCAGUUCGGAUUGUAGGCUGAAACUCGCCUACAUGAAGCUGGAGUUACUAGUAAUCGCAGAUCAGAAUGCUGCGGUGAAUGCGUUCCCGGGUCUUGUACACACCGCCCGUCACACCACGGGAGUUGGAG
rnacentral:rRNA from 1 species